UGGAGAAAGUAUGCUUGACUCACGAU
rnacentral:piRNA from 1 species